rnacentral:rRNA from 1 species
UACAGAGGUCUCAACCGUUGUUCGGAUUCAUUGGGCGUAAAGGGUGCGUAGGCGGUUUGUUGCGUCGGCUGUGAAAUCCCGAGGCUCAACCUCGGGUCUGCAGUCGAUACGAGCAAACUAGAGUGUUGCAGGGGAGACUGGAAUUCCUGGUGUAGCGGUGAAAUGCGCAGAUAUCAGGAGGAACACCGGUGGCGAAGGCGGGUCUCUGGGCAACAACUGACGCUGGAGGAGCGAAAGCGUGGGGAGCGAACAGG